UCAUGCUUGAAUCUGCUUUAAGGACCACCAGUGGGACACCAUCUGGUCUGGGUGCAGAGUGUCCCAAGGGUUGCACCACUUCUGCUAUUUUCUGUCAUACUUGGCAUUUGGCUACAAUUUUCUUUUCCAUGCACAGCUUCCUUCAGCCUCUGACCGGAAUUUUGAGAAAACUCCGCUCAACCUUUGUAAAUACCAGGAACCAGGAAGUGUGGCUCAUCAGAACCCUGGUAGAAUGGAAGAUUUACUGGAUAGUAGCUCUCCAGGUCCGGAGUUGGAGACCCCUCUCCUGUGCUGAAUGAGCACGCAUUCCAGGCCAUUCUGCAUUUUCCCUUCCCUGCACUGCUCAAGGGGAUGAGUGUGUGGCUUCAAGAACCUUCCGGUUUCCCCUUUGGCCAGCAGGCAUUGCAGGUCACUUUGCCUUUUCUACUAUUGUGUGUUUCUACUGCCCCCUGGAGUGCUGCGUGGCUCAUUGGGCUGAGUGUGUGCCAAAGACUACAACUCUGAGUCAUGGGGUCAAGGUUUGUCUCUGAUGAGCCUCAUCUGUUUAUUUGCAAUUAAUGGGUUUCUGUUCCCCUGUGUUCUAAUGUGCCUCCUUUUGAAAGAUUGUCCUGCUUGUAUUCUGUUCUGGGUUUGUUUUGUAUUUCUGUUCCAUGUUUAUUAUCUUAGUGUUGUAUUCCCAAGUAAUGGUUAUGUUGCCUAGUUCUGUUGUUUGUUUAGUUCCUUUGUUUCUGGGCAUAUUAUUGUUAAUUUGUUUCACCUGAUGCUUGUUUGUUGCCCCAUGCCUCUGAUUGGUUAAUUCAUUAUCGUGUACCACUGGCCCUUGUUUGCCUUGCUUGUCUGUGUGUAUUUAAGUCCCUGUGCCUGCUCUGUUCUCUGUGUCUGUCUGUGUUCAUACUCAUUCCACUGUGUGUUAGGAGUUCUGCUCAUUUCUUAGUCUUGCUCUCUUCCCUGGUGUUUUAUUGUUUCUUUAUUUGGUUCUUAUUAUUUUCCCCAUUACUUUUCACCCCUUAUAGUCCCUUUAAUUAGUACGUUUCCCUUGCACAAUCUGUUUAAUUCAAUAAACUCUUGUUUGUCUCAGA